CAAUAUUGCAAAGUGAUUUAUGGCACUUUUCAUAAAAAAAAAAAAUCCAUAUCCACCUUGUGUGCAAUGUUUGUUCUGUCGAAAGGCAGAAUUUUCAUCAACCUUUCUUAAACCUAAAAUGUCUGAAGAAAACAGUUUUUUUUUUAUAACACAUAAAAAAAUAAAAAAAA
rnacentral:misc_RNA from 1 species